AACGAUGUUUUUCGAAAAAUUCGAUGAACUGUAUGCUUCGCGUUAGAGUGAAAGAGAAAGCUUGCUAAGUAUUUUCAUCGAAGUUUCGCUCAGCAUGCUAUCUCGCUCUUUCGUGAUUGCGAAAAUUUGAAAGAACUGUCAAACUGCCAAACAACCAUCUUGCUUUUGGACAAGUUUGAUCGAGUCGCGUGUUUUUGCCAAAUUUUGUGAGUUUCAAAUUUUCGGUGAGUUAAUUCUUCAAAUUUUGAGUAAGUUUAUUUAAUUUAAAGUACUCUUGUUUCAAGCCGUUUCAAUCUACGUGCCUGGCCUGGAUGUCAAAGUCGAGCGCAGCUGCCGAAUCAAAGUGACCAAGGCGCGGAUUCAAUCUGCUGGCGACUCGCAGUCCUUGCCGGAAACCCCAAAGAAGAUCAUUGUAUUUGCCAACAUGGUAGAGGACUUGCGCCAGAAUAUGGCCACUGUCGCGAACGCCGCCGGUGCCUAAGGGUGGUCAAAUGGGUGGAAACGGGCGGAAACUGCAGGACGAACGCCGGUUCCUGCGUCGACCGGGAAGAGCUUCAAGUUUGUGGAGAAGGAGAAGGAGCAACAGCGGGAGGUAAUUCAGAGUUCUGCAAAAAGCUAGCUAAAAAAGCUCAAAUGUUUAUUUCUUAACUUAUGGAUUUCUUUUUUUUUAGGAUUUCGACAGCAAAAACGUCUCGAGAACUGAGCCCAUGAACCUGCACUGGUGCUGUUCAGAUUGCCGGACCGCAAACUCGUUUUCAACGACCGCCAGCAUACCAACAAAACACGCCACGAGUAUAAAUAUUACCGGGUGAAUCUCCGGAACCGGUCCGCAUUCCUAAAACUUUGCACCCAAGUAAGGGAAACAAACUUUGUGGAGGCCCGGUGCAAUCCGGAAUAGGCACGCAGGACGGAGAUGGCUCUGCUUUCGGAACAACGCUGCUCGGAACAGGCGCGAAUGACGGUCAUGAACCUGAAGGUGCCCUCGGACCAUUACAGCACAAAAAGUGCCAGGUAAUUUUGUUCUGUAGUUUUUGCAUCACAUAAAAACACUUCUUUGUGUUUUUCUCAAUUAGCACUUCAAGUUCCGCCACAGUUGCACCCGCUCUCAUCAUCGGUGGCCGGAUACAAUAUCGAAUUGCCUACUGGCUGUGGAGGUACGUGUCGAUGCCGAAACAUAUCCAUCGUGUGAUUCCCGUUCCGGCUGGUUCCGUCUGGUAUUGGACUCGGAAAUUCCCGGAAAUCAGCAGCGGCAUCGGCACCAACCGAGUGUUCAUGACUGCUUGGCCAUCUGGGGCGAGUUCGAGGGGGUCGUCUGGUGCUACAAGCUCAAUGAAGUUGAAUCCGUCCGCGAAAAUUAAUUUGCUCCAGGUAUUUUUGCUGUUGCAACCUAAAACUUGACGGACAAGAAGGUUCAGCUAAACGAUGUCCACCAAGAACAACUUUAUGCCAAAGUGCGUCAAGAUGCUGGUGAUGAACUGCCUGAAGGGGACAAGCAGCCAAAUUUCCAGCACACAGAAAACGACAAAACUAUGGAAUACAGCAACGCCUCCGCUCUGCUGCUCGAGAGUCAGUCCUACCCGGAGGUGCCUGUACCACCGGUUCCGCAGUUCGUUGGUCGCCCCUUCGCCGAACCUGCUGUAAGAAAUGGCCCCAGCCACGGAUUACGACGAACAGUUUUUCGCCGAACGUUACCAACCCUGGGAAAAUAAGAACUACAAGUGUGGCAUUUGCCUGGUGGAAUUCUAUUACAAGCGUUCCGACCGAUCGCAAACUCUUCUCAUACACGACCCGUCGAAACUGUUUGAGUGCGACGUGUGUUUCAUCUCGCUCACGACGGAACUGCGGCUGAUUCGCCACAAGGCCUUGGGAUACAGCAUCCAAGUGAUCAAAUGUGACCAGUUUCCGGCGCCACGGUCUACACGUGCUCGGGAAAAGAUUUAAACAACGUGCCCUUUGACGUAAAUCUAUAGACGAGGACAUUUAUCUCGGGCUAGGAAAAAAGAGCAACUGGACGCGAUUCCCGAGACGAAAGAUACGGCAGCAGAAGUUGGGUACGGUCCGGAAAAGGACAUCCAUCGUUCUCGUGUCGAGAAGAAUGGAAUUUGCCUCACCGAAUGCUUACAUUAGACAGUACAGACGGACAGACAGCACCGGCCGCCACUCGGCGUAUAACCCACCGCUUCAAAUGAUGGCGUUCUACUCGAAAUCGAACCACUAGUUUUGACCGGUUGCACCGCAAAGUUGAACGAGGUGAUGCCCAUACAAGCCAGAAGGUGCCACGAGGUUCGGUGUUCAGAAGCGUGUUGAAGCUGCUAACGAGCGUGAACUUGUAUAAACCGACCAGGCCGAGCCCUGGCUAGAUAAAUCUUCUGCAGAAGUUCCUGACGGCGGAUAGGUCUCGAAGCACGACACGAAAUCCUUCACGGCCACUUUCAUCGUGACGUACCUGAAAUGACCUGGCGCUGAAUGGGCCUCGCUCCAUCUCGAAACAACGGGUGAGAUGCUGCACGAACACGUCCUGGUGCAGACAAACCGGAAUCGGUCCACUUCCCUGGAACUGGCUCGAUAGUAGUCUUGCGAGCGUCAUCUUAACGAUGCCUUGGACGACUGAACAACAACAAUUUCCAUCAGAUAGUAGGAACUGGCCUAGUAGCGAAGAAACCGGAGAACAGUUUACUACUGCGCUUCAACACCGGUCUGCGCACCGGCUCCCUGUCAACCUCCGGCAAGAAACGCCCCUUGAUAGAAGCAUAUCCCUGGCUAUUCAGGGAUCAGCACGGCGGAACUCCCGCUCUUCAUGAUCCGGUCCCUAACUAUCAUGCCGAAAAGCCACCAAGAUUGUAACCCAGUACAUCCUGUCAGAAGUGCACCUACUCGUCCGCCUAAGAACUUGUAAACUACUCUACCACCGAGGUUCCAGAAGCGUAGGCUAGCGUCCACUGGCCCAGCCGCAGCAGGGUGAUGGCAAAAGCGGUAGGAUCCGCGGUUCAUCCACACCCAGCAAAGGCCAAGGGUCAACCAGCGGGCCAGCAGCAGCGUCGGGGAAUGGAUUGUGACGAACGGGACGAUCGUGACCGCAGUGACAUGGUCCCACGGGAGACCAUGAAGCGUUGCAUUGACUUCAGUCCUUUCCAAUAUUCUGCUUCCGACUAGGCUAGCCAGCCAGUACUAGUCUAGCCAGUACUAGUCUGAUCCGCGGGGAAAUCGGUCGGAUUAUGACGACGAAGAGAACUAACAUAAGUAACCGCUAGCAGCAGAACCGGUGGUAAUGGAGCACAGGUCAAAUAAUUCGAACGUCACCACCAGGAAGCACGGAAACGGAAACCAGUUUUGGAGUUCCGCCCUCACCGUUGCGCCACGCGGAGCGACGCAGAUCGAUCGACCAAAGAACUUCCAUCGACCGCAGCGUCCACCAAAAUUGAGCACAGGGAAUGUAGAAGCUGCCUAGCUGAGUGGUUCCGGUGAACAUGCCGAACGUCACGGCCUCUUGGAUUGCCGGAUACGCAGGCCGCUUAAGAAGUUCCCUCGAGAUACGCAGCAAGGAGAAGCCACAACCGAUUGUCACCACCCUGCAAGUUCAAUACGAACGAGACAGCUCGGAACACGCUGGCCGGAUGGCCAUCGCCCUACAAGUUUCCUCAGAACGGUGGAUUAAGUCAAGAUCAACCGAAACCGGUUCAUGUUCCUGGCUCGAGGAAUGCUGGAAGUUGGAAUGGCACUGGACGGAAUAGGCUCGCUUGCCGGGCCUGCAGUCAGCACGGAACAGGCACGGAAUGAACAGGACGGGAAAGGCACGAUGGACGGUUAUGGCCCUACAAGUUCCCUUGGAAAGUCGCUGCAUGGAUCAGGCUUGGCGGAUGGUCGCCGCCCUGCAAUUGCCCUCGGAACCUCGGAUUAAAUACUGUACGAACACGUCCGAUCAAGAUCAACCUAAUCCGGUCCAAGAUCUUGGUUCUUGCAAUCCGGAACGGCUAUGGCUCUAGAGUAGGUUCGCCGGGAGUCGCCAGCUUGCAAGUGCCUUCUGAACGACGUUGUAAGGAACAAGCUCGAUGGACGGUCGUAGCCCUGCAAGCACCAUCGGAACGACGCUGGAUGGAACAGGAUUGCCGGCGGACGAUCGCCUCCCUACAAUUGCUCCCGGAACCGAAUCCGGUCCACGAUCCUGAUUUUAAAGUUCCGGUAAUUUAUUGGAAAAACAGACUUGCCAAGCGGUCAACAACCUGCAAAAA